CUUGCCGAUGCAGUCGGGUCAAAGAUAAAAGCCCUCUCAGACUCCAGGAAUGUUAAUGAGGUGCCCAUCAGCCGGCAGAGCCGUGAUAUGGGCAAGCUACAGGUUCCAAGUCAACAGGGGAAAAAAAGAGCUUUAAGGACAAAGACACACUACAACUACAUCAAAAAGAAACCAAGCCAACCCUUCAGGAAUGAGAAAACUACAUUUCUACACAUUGUUGUCAGCAGUUUUAAUUUGUAUUACACAAUUAGUGUGGAUUCAGAUAUGAGAAAUCGUAUUUGUGAAGUUAAGACAACCAAAUAUUAUGUCAUUAGAAUGAACUGUUCAAAGUGACUAUUUUUGCAUUUCUUACCAAAGUUGCCAAAAUGUAGGCAUUUUUGCAGAACUUUAUUUGACAUGAAAUGGGUGGUGGAGGAAGAGGAACAAGAUGCACCUUCUAGCCAAGAUUCAGCCAAAUGUAUAGUACAGUUCAGUACCAAAUAUGACUCCUUAAAGAAGAAAAUGUAAUCCUGAAGUGGUGGUAUAUUGGAGGGGUCGGUGGGGUGCUAGUGGAUGAUAGGAAUGGCAGGCAAAAGAUUCUUUUAUGGGACUAAAGGGCUUCUUAAGAGAUGCUUUACAUAAAGGGGUUCUGGCAAUUCAAGGAUGAACCAUAAAUUGGAUUCAGAUUAAUGUUUCCACCCACAGGAUGUGAUUGCCUCACCUCCUCCCUCCUGUGGCAGGCACUUCAAAAUGCCCUCCAACUCCUGUUUCUAUGAGUCUCUUAUUCUCCAAGAAACAGGAUUUCUGUGGGCAUUUGGGGAUGCUGUAGAACACGGGAAGCGAGACCAUGUUCCACGGGUGGCAAUCCUUGAACCUGCUGAAAUGUCUAGUCUGGAGCCAAUCUCAGAGCACUAAAUCAAUCAUGCUCUUGUGUGUAUAAGAACUCAUUUCCUAAUAAAAGUCUUGCAACAUCCA